rnacentral:rRNA from 1 species
UACGGAGGGUGCAAGCGUUAAUCGGAAUUACUGGGCGUAAAGCGCACGCAGGCGGUCAAUUAAGUUGGAUGUGAAAUCCCCGGGCUCAACCUGGGAACAGCAUUCAAGACUGGUUGGCUAGAGUCGUGUAGAGGGGGGUAGAAUUCCAUGUGUAGCGGUGAAAUGCGUAGAGAUAUGGAGGAAUACCGGUGGCGAAGGCGGCCCCCUGGACACAGACUGACGCUCAGGUGCGAAAGCGUGGGGAGCAAACAGG